UACGAAGGGGGCUAGCGUUGCUCGGAAUCACUGGGCGUAAAGGGCGCGUAGGCGGCCUUGUAAGUUGGGGGUGAAAGCCCGUGGCUCAACCACGGAAUUGCCUUCGAUACUGCUUGGCUUGAGUGUGGUAGAGGUUGGUGGAACUGCGAGUGUAGAGGUGAAAUUCGUAGAUAUUCGCAAGAACACCGGUGGCGAAGGCGGCCAACUGGACCAUCACUGACGCUGAGGCGCGAAAGCGUGGGGAGCAAACAGG
rnacentral:ncRNA from 5 species